CGUAAGCUCAAUAAAUUCCAUAAAUUCUUCAGUAAAUUCCAUACGUUCUGCUUCUACCCUUUAAUGAUUAGAUAAAGUGACUUGAAGUUCACCCCCAAAACAUGUGUAGGGGGACGCCACGCUGCAUGAGCUCGUAGAAGGUGAAGCCACCUAGGAGGCAAGAGGACACUGGUGAUGUCACAGGGUUGGAAGAGAGCAAAGUGUGCAAGGAGAAGAAGAGGAAGGCAACAGGCUCAUCAAGCACACCGGGAUCCUCAUUUGGCAACAGUGAGAGGAACUCCAAGAUGACCUCCAGGUCGGACUGGCAGGACUCCUGGCUCGCCAUCCUGGACCUCUGUGCUUGCGUCUGGGCCUGAGCUGAGUGGAGCUGCUAUUAUACCCCUGCGGCGGCGCUGGCUCUUCAUAACUCACGGCUCUGUGCUCCACAGGAACAAUGAGCCGCCGCACAGCUCCAGUGUGACGAUUAACGCCGCGUCCCAGCGCUGACCACAUCCUCCCCGCUGCGGCAGAUAAGCCCGGGCCCGAGAGCAACGUCCGCGCUGCAGGAAAACAACACUUGCUGCCACAUUUUUCCUCUCAGGAUGUGUCUUCAUGUCUCGUGUUGUAACUGCUGCAGUAUUUCACCGCCGCAGCGCUGACAACUGCGCGCGACUGUUGAGCUCCCGCCGAACAAAACAACUCCACUUUUUCGACUCCAGUGACGGACCUGCACUGACCCACAUUAUCGCAGGCCACAGUUUAGAUAUGAGAAGUGCUGAGUCAACAGCUUUAGUCUCGUCAUCUGUGAUCUGUGCAUCUAGUCAUGAAGUCGUACUGCGACAGGUUAAAAAAGUAACUUUGAAAGGAGGGUGUGGUGAAAUAGCAGGAGGAAAACACAAGCUCAGACAGAAACGGCCUCCGAAUGCUGGCGCUGGUGUCGGGGCUCUUCCACAGUCACGUGAUGAUGUGGAGGCCCGGACUCCCAGAAUGCACCGCGCCAGGCGCCAGAGCGUCCCUCAGCCUCAGCACUUCAUAGCGCUUGUUUGAGAUGAGUCCCUUUGAGAUUUGUUUUUAUUUUAUUUUAUUUGUUUGAGGUAACACUUUUAUGACGGUUGUUCCUGAGAGAAGCCGCUGCGUGCGCGUCACAGUGCCAGGCUUCAGACAUGUGACUUACUUCAUCCUGAGACCACAUGAUGUCGUCCACACCUCUGAGUUCAUCUGUCAAACCAAGUAAAGGCCCAUCGGAACAACACCAUUCCUGACCAAAGAACUUGUGAAAUACAAAGGACGAUUAGUUUUGUGGGUCGACUGAAGCAGGACAAGAGCCAGAAGAUGCUAGAGAGAAACCUGCUGAGCUCCUCAGCGAGGUUGGAAAAACCCUCCUCUAAACUUUAAAGUAAAGCGAUGAAACCAGCCGUGUACUGCGUUACGACCCGGGACAUGAACUGUAACAGAAUUUCUCUUCAUCUUAGAGAGGACAAGUGGCUCCUGACGCUCACCCUGACACUUCCUGUGCUGCAGGAGCUCGAGCCAGCAGGAACUGGAGCUCUGGGUUCUGAAGCAACACGUCUGUGAGGAAAUGUGAGGCAUGUUUGCAACCAAGGUGCACUUCUCCACACCACCAUCAACUUGCUUGCAGAAACUUCAGUGUUUCCCACUCAGAUGUGUUUAGAAAUGCUUUUUAGUUUUGGGAUUUUUUGGAAUUAGUGAAUUUCCAAACUUGCGUUUUCAACUUUUAAACCAUUUUCAUCUCUUAAACCAGCGGUUUUCAACCUCUUUCAAGCCAUACUUUGUUCAUUGACAAAGUCCAGAGGCUCACCACCAGAGGAACCUCGGCCAAAAUGUAAUGGUGCUUAGUUGAAAGUCCUGUAGAAAAUCCCUUUGGUCCCUUUUUUGUGAAAAUUUUGUGGUAUUUGCAGGAACAAAUUGCAGAAAACCUAUAUAUUUAAAAGUGUCUCCAGAAAGGGCUGGGCAAUAUGGCAAAUUGACGUCAUGAAACAAUUGUUUAUUUUAAAUAAUAAUUGUAUUUCCUCUGCUUUGGAGAGUUUCCAGACAAACCUUUAACAUUCUUUGCCUCAGCUUCAUAACAACAGUGAUUCUUUCUCCCUUCACAUUGUCGAGCGCAUUUAUUUGGUUCUGCAUUUAGUUUUUUAUGGGACAGCUGAAAAAAAUAUUGGCUGAAAAACAGAAUAUAGGCAUUGAUAAAAACGAAUAUUGGCUCAAAAAAUAAUAUAGAAAUAUUUUUUAUUUAUAAUUUUAAUACAAUUCUAGUUUUCAACCUCAAUUCAAAAACGUUUCAGCCAAUAUUCCAUUUUUCAAUUGCUAUAUUCUUUUUGUCAGCCAAUAUAUUUUUUUUCAAUGCCAAUGUAAGCUGUCCCUGUUUUAGCCCCAUAGUUUAUAGCCAACUUUUAAACGACGCAGCAAACUGUGCGAGUUGUUGCUGGUGGUGACGACUAAGAGCAGCACCUUCCGUGGUCACCUCUGAUGCUGAUGAAACCUCUGUUUCCUGCCUGCUGGCUUCCACUUUUCCCUGCAGAGGGCGCAAGAGAGCCUCUAGGAGAGGGGACACCCUGGACAGGCAUCUGCAGUCACCCAGGUAGUUUGUGAUGAGUCCAGUCUCCAUCUACACCUUUAUAUCAGCAGUAAUUCAGAGCCCGACUCUCUGGUGUCAGUAUGAAUGAGAAGUGAGAAUGUUCAGAAGUCACUGCUGCUUUUUGUACAUGUAUUUUGUCCAUAUUGCUGCUGAGACUUGAGGAAGAAGUCGUUCAUUCAGUUGAAAACUGAUCUGCUUAUCGUCUCACACAUUCACAUAGAAGCUUCAGAAUAGAUAAAAACGUUUAUUAUAUGUGUAUUUAACAAGUUUUCAAAAUGGCCGUCUCACUGGAAAGAUCUGUUCUACCUCGUAACAAGGACUACAAAAAUGGCCGACACCUCAGCUGGAAACGCGUAACAUCACUCUGACUCUCGACUGAGACUCUGAAGUGAGGCGCUUCUGUGGAGGUGUUGUCUGCUUCUCACUUCACAUGAUGGUCCUCAUUCCUCCAAGAGGAGUUAGCUGGUGCUUCACUGCAUGGCGGAAUCAGGUCUUCACCUGAGUGACAGCAGCUCCAGAGGAAGAUGAUGGACAGAUUCUGACAUCAAAGUUCAGAUCCAGGACCAGAGGUUGGAGAUGUCUCCUGUCACGGCUGUGAAGACAGAGCUGGGUGGAACCUGCUGCAGCUGGAAGAAGCACCUUCAUCUUCAGGGGAGAGGAUGUCCCUCCCUGACUUGAGUUCAUGUUGGUUGCUGCUCCAAACGCUCAGGACUUUUGAAAAGCAGAAGCAGUGUGAGCCCCGGGACACAUGGACUGCACACACGACACCGAGGGAGGUUUCACCAGUGGUGUUUAAACAGAGGCUCAUGAUGGACCUGGGUGCUCCAGCUCCAGAGCGGUCUGCAGGAGAGACAAACCCAUGUCCCUCCCCAUCACCAGCACUCUUCCUCCUCUGUCAGGAACAUGCAGAACUGCAAUGAAGAAGUGUUCAACCUGAAUGACUCCUCAAUGGAGCAGCAAGCUUCUGUCAGUGGCAGUUCAAGCUCCAUCUCCUCACUCUGGAGGUGGCUCUGAACAUGGAGAAGCUUGAAGCGACACAGGAACAAUCUCUCAUCUCUCAGAGGCAAGAGGCGUACAGACAGACACAGAUAGACAGUUAAAAGGUGACAGUACCACGACAACAAUGACACAGUUUCUAACAGACACGUCUCCUCCCUUCGGCACAGGCGUCUCCUCACAGCUUGGUGGUGGUGAAGCUGGUGGCCAGGUCGUAGUCCUCCUGCAGCUGGUAGUGGCUGUACCAGCUGUGCCAGUCCGGACCUGCCGACCCACAGUAGCCGUGCUGAGCCGGGCUCUCUUGCAGCGGGUGUGCCUCCUCUUGGGCGGCUGGGUAGGACAGCGCCGCUGCCGCCGCUCCCCCGCCGGAGCCCAGCCGGUGCAGGAUCUCGGCGUUGAACUGGUAA